UAAGAGGAAGGUCCCAGUUUUUAAAAGGGUCCACUGGGGCAACAAGCUUGCAGUUGGUAAGCCAAAGAAAAGCAACUGGCAGCUCACCUGGGCAGCAACGCACGCACCGGUAUGGCCUCCCCAACUGCCUCGCCAGUCGCAGUGUUGAUGGGGGAGGGGAGAAGAGAAAAAAACGGUUGUUUCCUACUCAGGGUCCCGCCGAGGGCCCGGAUCCCAAAGCAAUGCUCCAGGUAGAGGCUCUGUUACCUUUGGUGAAAAAAACCUUAUCUGAUCGUCCCCUCCAGCUUGCACAAGAUGAAGCGGUGCGAGGUAGCAGUCCUUCACCGACCGUCGCCGCCAGCUCUCGCCCUAAUGGCGGCGGCCACUAGCCGGCAGCGACAGGCGCCUUUAUGGGGGACCUGGGGCAGGCGGCCCGCCCAUUGGCCUGAGCGUGUCACGUGGCCACGCCUGGAGCCUGGCGGCGGGUAAAGUGCGCGAGGUAUCAGCUCCGCAGUCCGGCUUUUGCCGAGGUUCAAGGUCUUUCACCCUGGGAGUGCACGUUUGUUGAGCCUUUACUGAAUGCCAGCUGCCAGGAGAGAGAGGAGCUCCUUUUACUCUGUGCUGUCAAGCUGAAAGAACCACAUAAGCCUGCAGCUUAUGGUCCUAACCCCAGGCUUCAUGGAAGAAGCUCUCUGCAGAAUGAUGCCAACACACGGAGGGAGCCAGAGCUCUGGCAACAUUUACCACCAUCUGAAGCUAAACCAACCCUUCAACUUUCCAGUUGCUGGAGCCAAUACAUUCCCUUUUUCUUAAGCUAAUUUGAGUGUCAUUUCUAUCACUUUCAACCAAAAGAGCUUUGAAUAUUGCUUUCCAUCUAGAGGUGAGAAUGAUCAACUCAGUACAAGCAAAAGUAACUCAUCAACAGUUGUGAGUAAUAGAAAAUCUUAUCAAAAUUUCUUUUGGAGAAGUAUUAAGUUUUUGUUGGUUUGGAAUACUAAAUUUAGAAAGCUCAAAUAACUAACAUUUUCCUGUACCCUAGAGACAAGUGUUAAGUAAACUGUCCCUAAGGAUUAUUCAAAUAUGUAAUUCUAAGUUAUGUCAGAGUGUCAUUAUAGAUUCAGCUUAAUCACCUAUA